rnacentral:tRNA from 2 species
UUCCUCAUGGCCCAAUGGUCAAGGCGUCUGGCUACGAACCAGAAGAUUCCAGGUUCGAGUCCUGGUGGGGAAG